AAUAGAUACCCUGGUAGUCCACGCCGUAAACGAUGUCGACUUGGAGGUUGUUCCCUUGAGGAGUGGCUUCCGGAGCUAACGCGUUAAGUCGACCGCCUGGGGAGUACGGCCGCAAGGUUAAAACUCAAAUGAAUUGACGGGGGGCCCGCACAAGCGGUGGAGCAUGUGGUUUAAUUCGAUGCAACGCGAAGAACCUUACCUACUCUUGACAUCCACGGAACUUUUCAGAGAUGAAUUGGUGCCUUCGGGAACCGUGAGACAGGUGCUGCAUGGCUGUCGUCAGCUCGUGUUGUGAAAUGUUGGGUUAAGUCCCGCAACGAGCGCAACCCUUAUCCUUUGUUACCAGCGGUCCGGCCGGGAACUCAAAGGAGACUGCCAGUGAUAAACUGGAGGAAGGUGGGGAUGACGUCAAGUCAUCAUGGCCCUUACGAGUAGGGCUACACACGUGCUACAAUGGCGCAUACAAAAGAGAAGCGACCUCGCGAGAGCAAGCGGACCUCAUAAAAGUGCGUCGUAGUCCGGA
rnacentral:rRNA from 1 species